GAUGAACGCUAGCGGGAGGCCUAAUACAUGCAAGUCGAACGGUUCCGGUUUAGGCCGGGAUAGUGGCGCACGGGUGAGUAACGCGUACGCAAUUUGCCCUCAAGAGGGGGAUAGCCCUGGGAAACUGGGAGUAAUACCCCAUGUGGUUAUAUUUUUGCAUGGGAAUAUAACUAAAGCUGAGGUGCUUGAGGAUAAGCGUGCGUCUGAUUAGCUUGUUGGUGGGGUAACGGCCUACCAAGGCGAUGAUCAGUAGGGGGCGUGAGAGCGUGGCCCCCCCACACGGGUACUGAGACACGGACCCGACUCCUACGGGAGGCAGCAGUAAGGGAUAUUGGGCAAUGGGCGGAAGCCUGACCCAGCCAUCCCGCGUGCAGGAAGAAUGCCCUAUGGGUUGUAAACUGCUUUUGCUUGAGAAGAAAAAGGGCCAUUUAUGGUUUUCUGACGGUAUCUUGCGAAUAAGCACCGGCUAACUCCGUGCCAGCCGCCGCAGUAA
rnacentral:rRNA from 1 species